GGACCUGGAGCGCGCACCCGCGCUGGGCGGCAGCUUCGCGGGACUCGAGCCCAUGGGGCUGCUCUGGGCCCUGGAACCCGAGAAGCCUUUUUGGCGCUUCCUGAAGCGGGACGUACAGAUUCCUUUUGUCGUGGAGUUGGAGGUGCUGGACGGCCACGACCCCGAGCCUGGACGGCUGCUGUGCCAGGCGCAGCACGAGCGCCACUUCCUCCCGCCAGGGGUGCGGCGCCAGUCGGUGCGAGCGGGCCGGGUGCGCGCCACGCUCUUCCUGCCGCCAGGUAAAAGGCCCAGGCAUUGGGCUUUUGGGCAUUUCUCUAGGAGCUGAUAUUUGUCUCUCAAUGGCCUCAUUCUUGAAGAAUGUCUCAGCCACAGUUUCCAUCAAUGGAUCUGGGAUCAGUGGGAACACAGCCAUCAACUAUAAGCACAGUAGCAUUCCACCAUUGGGCUAUGACCUGAGGAGAAUCAAGGUAGCUUUCUCAGGCCUCGUGGACAUUGUGGAUAUAAGGAAUGCUCUCGUAGGAGGGUACAAGAACCCCAGCAUGAUUCCAAUAGAGAAGGCCCAGGGGCCCAUCCUGCUCAUUGUUGGUCAGGAUGACCAUAACUGGAGAAGUGAGUUGUAUGCCCAAACAGUCUCUGAACGGUUACAGGCCCAUGGAAAGGAAAAACCCCAGAUCAUCUGUUACCCUGGGACUGGGCAUUACAUCGAGCCUCCUUACUUCCCCCUGUGCCCAGCUUCCCUUCACAGAUUACUGAACAAACAUGUUAUAUGGGGUGGGGAGCCCAGGGCUCAUUCUAAGGCCCAGGAAGAUGCCUGGAAGCAAAUUCUAGCCUUCUUCUGCAAACACCUGGGAGGUACCCAGAAAACAGCUGUCCCUAAAUUGUAAUGCAUUUGUCUGUUGUUGACAUGAGAGAUUCAAGAUCAGAUUCUAGUGUUCAGUAACCCUAUGUGAAUCAGAUGUCUCCUGGAUAACAUUAAAGCCAUGUCUUUGUCAUUAA
rnacentral:lncRNA from 1 species